UAGGAUGCAGUGUAGGGCUAAGGCUAUAUUCACACUGCUGUUAGGAUGCAGUGUAGGCCUAAGGCUAUAUUCACACUGCAGGCCAUUCUGAUCUCUUUAUGACAGACUGUUCACUCUGUUACCGGCAAAUUGGUUGGGACCAAAAUAUCUCAGUAACAGUUCAUUGAGCUGAAGAGUGGCAGCAGGUUGAAGCACCUUUUAGCGUCUUGCUCCCUUGUGACCUUCUCGGUAGCCUUGAUGCGACCUUGAAUACCCCCACCUCUCAGAUGUGGCCUUAAAACCUCUCCUCCAUUUCGCUUUGCCAUACUUGUGCGAGGCAGGCGAGGACGACCAUAUGCAAAAUUUGACAGCUUUGCAGAACAAAGCAGGCUCAUGUUUGACACUGAGCUGAGACUUAGCAUUAUUGUUCUCUUUGUGUCAAAUCAAAUGUUUAUAGCAUGUAGCAGGAAAACGAGAAGAAUACCAUUUGUAGGUUAUAUUUUUUGACUUGUCUCUCACAUGUAUUGUUUAUGGUGUCCUAGUAAAAUGACUGAGCUGACAGUACACUUACUGCCGAAGGUGUUUGGAGUUACAAGGUCUCACUGUACUGUAAAACAUGUCACAAAACAGACCCAAAUGAAAACCUUUAAAACAACUCAGCGUCAUUGUUUUGUUACGAUGUGUCUGGUUGGGAGGUGCGAGAAUAGAUGUUUUGUCACAAUGUCAGUUUAACAUUCUAUUGUGUUUCCGUUAUGGUUGGUGCAUUUCAAUAAGUGUUUUUAUUUCAAGUUGUCAUUAUACAAACUAAGCCUUAACUGUCAAUUCGCGUGACCCGUUUAUAACUAUAAAUAAGACAAACGAACGAAUCAGUUCAGCCAAUUCAAGCGUAUUAUUUAAUGUUCGUGUUAUCUACAGCUAACCUGCAUACAUCUGGACCUUAAUAAGGCAUCGUUGGUAUGUUUUAUCCUUUGUUGUGAAUUUUGUGAGAUACAAUAUAUGUUUAUUUAACCUAUUGUAACUGUAUGCAAUGACUAUAUGUUUAUGCUAGAAUUGAUUUGUCUAUGUCUUUUGUAAAUUUCAGUUUUACACUUCCUAUCUACUAUCAUUAAACCUGUGGACUACGUAUAUCUUCAGAGUCGUGAUUUGUAGGAAGAGUUUAUCUGGCUGUCAGCGUAGAGCUUACCGAAGACGGCACAGUCAUAUUUCAGUGUGGAAAAGCGUGUAGGUCAGACAGCCCUCUAGACCUGCUCACCACACAACAAUGGCAUUAGUUAGAGAGGCUAUUGGGAUACCAACUGCUACACUGACUGACUGAGCUGCAUAAAUCAGUUGCUGAAAUUGAAAGUGGUGUUCAUGGACCGCCCAUCUCCAAAGCAUUGCACAAAAUCGGCAUUCCUGGAACAGCAGCAAAACAGGAGCCCUGACUGAAAGAAGGCAAAUAUGUAUCCCUGCUAGUUUUUGCAAAUUAUCGCUUGAAAGGUGGUGGAAAUAUGU
ensembl:lncRNA